GACGAACGCUGGCGGCGUGCUUAACACAUGCAAGUCGAGCGGUAAGGCUCCUUCGGGAGUACACGAGCGGCGAACGGGUGAGUAACACGUGAGCAACCUGCCCUUCUCAUCGGAAUAAGCGUUGGAAACGACGUCUAAUGCCAAAUACGACCUCCUUUCGCAUGAUCGGAGGUGGAAAGCUCCGGCGGAGAAGGAUGGGCUCGCGGCCUAUCAGCUAGUUGGUGUGGGUAACGGCCCACCAAGGCGACGACGGGUAGCCGGCCUGAGAGGGUGACCGGCCACACGGGGACUGAGACACGGCCCAGACUCCUCCGGGAGGCAGCAGUGGGGAAGAUUGGACAAUGGGCGAAAGCCUGAUCCAGCAACGCCGCGUGAGGGAUGACGGCCUUCGGGUUGUAAACCUCUUUCAGCGGGGACGAAGCGACAGUGACGGUACCCGCAGAAGAAGGACCGGCCAACUACGUGCCAGCAGCCGCCGUAAAAC
rnacentral:rRNA from 1 species